GAUGAACGCUGGCGGCGUGCCUAAUACAUGCAAGUCGAGCGAACAGACGAGGAGCUUGCUCCUCUGACGUUAGCGGCGGACGGGUGAGUAACACGUGGAUAACCUACCUAUAAGACUGGGAUAACGUCGGGAAACCGGAGCUAAUACCGGAUAAUAUAGUGAACCGCAUGGUUCAAUAGUGAAAGACGGUUUUGCUGUCACUUAUAGAUGGAUCCGCGCCGCAUUAGCUAGUUGGUAAGGUAACGGCUUACCAAGGCAACGAUGCGUAGCCGACCGGAGAGGGUGAUCGGCCACACUGGAACUGAGACACGGUCCAGACUCCUACGGGAGGCAGCAGUAGGGAAUCUUCCGCAAUGGGCGAAAGCCUGACGGAGCAACGCCGCGUGAGUGAUGAAGGUCUUCGGAUCGUAAAACUCUGUUAUUAGGGAAGAACAAAUGUGUAAGUAACUAUGCACGUCUUGACGGUACCUAAGCAGAAAGCCACGGCUAACUACGU
rnacentral:rRNA from 1 species